GUAGGUGGCAAGCGUUGUCCGGAAUUAUUGGGCGUAAAGCGCGCGCAGGUGGGAUAAUAAGUCUGAUGUUAAAGUUCGGGGCUCAACCCCGUGAAGCAUUUGGAUACUGUUAUUCUUGAGUGCAGGAGAGGAAAGUGGAAUUCCUAGUGUAGCGGUGAAAUGCGUAGAUAUUAGGAGGAACACCAGUGGCGAAGGCGACUUUCUGGACUGUGUCUGACACUGAGGCGCGAAAGCCAGGGUAGUGAACGGGGGAUUAGAUACCCCGGUAAUCCUGGCCGUAAACGAUGGGUACUAGGUGUUGGGGGUAUCGACCCCCUCCAGUGCCGGAGUUAACGCAAUAAGUACCCCGCCUGGGGAGUACGGCCGCAAGGUUG
rnacentral:rRNA from 1 species